rnacentral:misc_RNA from 1 species
GAUGAAGAACGCAGCGAAAUGCGAUAAGUAAUGCGAAUUGCAGAAUUCCAGUGAACCAUCGAAUCUUUGAACGCACAUUGCGCCCGCUGGAACUCCGGCGGGCACGCCUGUCCGAGCGUCAUUUCAACCCUCAGGCCCCCCUUCGCGGGCGGGCCUGGUGUUGGGGCCCGGCCGCUACCCUGCGGCCGUCCCCUAAAUCCAGUGGCGGCCUCGCCGUGAUCCCUUGCGUAGUAAUGCACCUCGCACCGGAGAGCGCCGUGGCCACGCCGUAAAACCCCCAAUUUUCAAUGGUUGACCUCGGAUCAGGUGGGAAUACCCGCUGAACUUAAGCAUAUCAAUAAGCGGAGGA